UGCAGCCGGGGAGAUAGCGGUGCCCUGUACCUGCAAUCCGCUACAGCAGGGGUGAUGCCGAACCGAGGCAGUUUCUCUGUGGGGUCAGCCCUUCAUAAGCGGUGUUGACGUCUGGGUCUUGCGCAACAGAUCUCUGUGAACCGUGUCAGGUCGGGAACGGAGCAGCACUAAGCAGAACCUUCUGUGUGCCGUAAGGUCGCCUGGAUAGAGCUGGCUGUGAAGUAAGCGUCUGUGGGGUGCUGUCGAAGGGAGGCGCACGG
rnacentral:SRP_RNA from 1 species